AUUGAACGCUGGCGGCAGGCCUAACACAUGCAAGUCGAACGGUAACAGGAAGAAGCUUGCUUCUUUGCUGACGAGUGGCGGACGGGUGAGUAAUGUCUGGGAAACUGCCUGAUGGAGGGGGAUAACUACUGGAAACGGUAGCUAAUACCGCAUAACGUCGCAAGACCAAAGAGGGGGACCUUCGGGCCUCUUGCCAUCGGAUGUGCCCAGAUGGGAUUAGCUAGUAGGUGGGGUAACGGCUCACCUAGGCGACGAUCCCUAGCUGGUCUGAGAGGAGGACCAGCCACACUGGAACUGCGACACGGUCCAGACUCCUACGGGAGGCAGCAGUGGGGAAUAUUGCACAAUGGGCGCAAGCCUGAUGCAGCAAUGCCGCGUGUAUGAAGAAGGCCUUCGGGUUGUAAAGUACUUUCAGCGGGGAGGAAGGGAGUAAAGUUAAUACCUUUACUCAUUGACGUUACCCGCAGAAGAAGCACCGGCUAACUCCGUG
rnacentral:rRNA from 1 species